rnacentral:rRNA from 1 species
GUGUCAGCCGCCGCGGUAACACGAACCGUACGAACGUUAUUCGGAAUCACUGGGCUUAAAGGGUGCGUAGGCGGCCCGAAAAGUUGGGUGUGAAAUCCCUCGGCUCAACCGAGGAAUUGCGCUCAAAACUGCCGGGCUAGAGGAAGUCAGAGGUGAGCGGAACUUAGGGUGGAGCGGUGAAAUGCGUUGAUAUCUUAAGGAACACCAGUGGCGAAAGCGGCUCACUGGGGCUUUUCUGACGCUGAUGCACGAAAGCUAGGGGAGCGAACGGGAUUAGAUACCCCGGUAGUCCUAGCCGUAAACGAUGAGCACUGGAUCGAAGGCCACUCCAUAGGUUUUCGGUCGUAGCGAAAGUGUUAAGUGCUCCGCCUGGGGAGUAUGGUCGCAAGGCUGAA